GACGAACCGUGCGAACGUUAUUCGGAAUCACUGGGCUUAAAGCGCGUGUAGGCGGGACGGCACGUCGGUCGCUGAAAGCCCCCGGCUCAACCGGGGAAGGGGCGCCGAUACGACCGUCCUCGAGGGACGUAGGGGGACCUGGAACUUCCGGUGGAGCGGUGAAAUGCGUUGAGAUCGGAAGGAACGCCCGUGGCGAAAGCGAGGUCCUGGACGUUUUACUGACGCUGAGACGCGAAAGCCAGGGGAGCGAACGGG
rnacentral:rRNA from 1 species